rnacentral:lncRNA from 1 species
AAAAAAAAACCACUGUUUAAGACUUCUUCACACUUAAUCCUUUGGAUGUUGGAUGUGUUAUAACUGAUAAAUUAGUUAUAGAUCCAUGAUUUUUUAAUAUUUUUUUUUUGCUUUGAACUAGCUUUCAGUACUUGCGAUUACUCACAGAUCUUUGUUUAGAGUCUGUUUGUUUUUUUUGAUGUACAAGUACCCUCCCACGUUCGCUUUUUUUGUGUAAAAAAUAUUUGUAUUUGCAUUCACAUGAUGACUGAAGCCUUUUCAACUGAUUUUUAAGUCUUAUGUUGUUCCGUUACACCACUGUCACAGGUUAGGGGAGGAUUGGACACCAGGUAACAUGUUUAUCGUUGACACAUCCUGUAUUUGCCUAGGCCUGACACAAAUUAGAAGCCUGCAAUUCAGUGGUUGUGUUUUUCGUUUGUUUUUUUUUUUAAAUUUUUUUUUUUUGCCCAAAAAUAAGGCCAUUAGUUUACUUGUUUGAAUUGUGUUACAUUUGUCCUUUCGGGGCCUUUUAUAGCAGACUAUGUGAUAUGAGCAUUAAGGAGAGUCUCUUUACACUCGUAUCACAUUAUUUUUU